CCAAGUUCUUUGGAACAGGACGUCACAGAGGGUGAGAAUCCCGUACGUGGUCGCUAGCCUUCGCCGUGUAAAGCCCCUUCGACGAGUCGAGUUGUUUGGGAAUGCAGCUCUAAAUGGGAGGUAAAUUUCUUCUAAAGCUAAAUACUGGCCAGAGACCGAUAGCGCACAAGUAGAGUGAUCGAAAGAUGAAAAGCACUUUGGAAAGAGAGUCAAAUAGCACGUGAAAUUGUUGAAAGGGAAGCGCUUGCAGCCAGACUUGCCUGUAGUUGCUUAUCCGGACUUUUGUCCGGUGCACUCUUCUGCGGGCAGGCCAGCAUCAGUUUGGGCGGUUGGAUAAAGGUCUCUAUCACGUACCUCCUUUCGGGGAGGCCUUAUAGGGGAGACGUCAUGCAACCAGCCUGGACUGAGGUCCGCGCAUCUGCUAGGAUGCUGGCGUAAUGGCUGUAAGCGGCCCGUCUUGAAACACGGACCAAGGAGUCUAACAUCUAUGCGAGUGUUUGGGUGUCAAGCCCAGACGCGUAAUGAAAGUGAACGGAGGUGGGAACCUUUUAGGUGCACCAUCGACCGAUCCUGAUGUCUUCGGAAGGAUUUGAGUAAGAGCAUGGCUGUUGGGACCCGAAAGAUGGUGAACUAUGCUUGAAUAGGGUGAAGCCAGAGGAAACUCUGGUGGAGGCUCGCAGCGGUU
rnacentral:rRNA from 1 species